rnacentral:rRNA from 1 species
CGAGCACGCGCGUGUGGCAUAUCAAUAAGCGGAGGAAAAGAAACUAACAAGGAUUCCCUUAGUAACGGCGAGUGAAGCGGGAAGAGCUCAAAUUUGAAAUCUUCAAGGUUUUACCUUGACGAAUUGUAGUUUAAAGAAGUGUUUUCUGUUGGAGUUUUGGUAAAAGUUCUUUGGAAUAGGACAUCAUAGAGGGUGAGAAUCCCGUAUUUGACCAUUAUUUCCAGCUGUGUGAUACACUUUCAAAGAGUCGGAUUGUUUGGGAAUGCAGUCCAAAAUGGGUGGUAAAUUUCAUCUAAAGCUAAAUAUUGGCGAGAGACCGAUAGCGAACAAGUACCGUGAGGGAAAGAUGAAAAGAACUUUGAAAAGAGAGUUAAACAGUACGUGAAAUUGUCAAAAAGGGAAGCGUUUGACACCAGUGUUGUUUUUCCGAAAAUCAAUUACGAAUGUUUUGUUUUUGAGGAGUUAUGACUUCAUCGGCUUGCUCCUUUCUUUAUGAAACUUUCUUAAUGCACUUUUCGGUUAACAAGUCAACAUCAAUUUCUUUUGUUGUAAAAGGGUAUGAGGAAGGUGGCUUUCUUUUCGGAGAAAGUGUUUAUAGCCUUGUGCCUCUGCAAUCGGAGAGAUUGAGGUCUGCAGCGUAGAUCCUUCGGGGUUAGAUACAGUUUGUGCUAAGUUAUAGCUUUUCAUAGACAACUGGUUGACUAUGUUUAGUCUUGUAGCUUACUCGCUGACGCUAUUUUACCUACGCUUAGGAUGUUGAGCGCAUGUCUCUCUCU